rnacentral:rRNA from 1 species
GAUGAACGCUGGCGGCGUGCCUAAUACAUGCCAGUCGAGCGAACAGACGAGGAGCUUGCUCCUCUGACGUUAGCGGCGGACGGGUGAGUAACACGUGGAUAACCUACCUAUAAGACUGGGAUAACUUCGGGAAACCGGAGCUAAUACCGGAUAACAUGUUGAACCGCAUGGUUCAACAGUGAAGGACGGUCUUGCUGUCACUUAUAGAUGGAUCCGCGCCGCAUUAGCUAGUUGGUAAGGUAACGGCUUACCAAGGCAACGAUGCGUAGCCGACCUGAGAGGGUGAUCGGCCACACUGGAACUGAGACACGGUCCAGACUCCUACGGGAGGCAGCAGUAGGGAAUCUUCCGCAAUGGGCGAAAUCCUGACGGAGCAACGCCGCGUGAGUGAAGAAGGUCUUCGGAUCGUAAAACUCUGUUAUUAGGGAAGAACAAAUGUGUAAGUAACUAUGCACGUCUUGACGGUACCUAAUCAGAAAGCCACGGCUAACUACGUG